GGGGUUAUAGCUCAGCUGGGAGAGCGCUUGCAUGGCAUGCAAGAGGUCCGCGGUUCGAUCCCGCGUAGCUCCACCA
rnacentral:tRNA from 120 species